rnacentral:rRNA from 1 species
AACGCGAAGAACCUUACCAGGUCUUGACAUCCCUCUGAAUCACCUAGAGAUAGGUGCGGCCUUCGGGACAGAGGAGACAGGUGGUGCAUGGUUGUCGUCAGCUCGUGUCGUGAGAUGUUGGGUUAAGUCCCGCAACGAGCGCAACCCUUGAAUUCAGUUGCCAGCACUUCGGGUGGGCACUCUGAAUUGACUGCCGGUGACAAACCGGAGGAAGGCGGGGAUGACGUCAAAUCAUCAUGCCCCUUAUGACCUGGGCUACACACGUACUACAAUGGCCGGUACAACGGGCAGCGAUACCGCGAGGUGGAGCCAAUCCUUAAAAGCCGGUCUCAGUUCGGAUUGCAGGCUGCAACUCGCCUGCAUGAAGUCGGAAUUGCUAGUAAUCGCGGAUCAGCAUGCCGCGGUGAAUACGUUCCCGGGCCUUGUACACACCGCUAGUC